UACGGAGGUGGCAAGCGUUGUUCGGAAUCACUGGGCGUAAAGGGCGCGUAGGCGGGGAGGUAAGUCGGGUGUGAAAUCCCUCGGCCCAACCGAGGAACUGCGCCCGAGACUGCUUCUCUUGAGUCCCGGAGAGGAAGAUGGAAUUCCCGGUGUAGCGGUGAAAUGUGUAGAGAUCGGGAGGAACACCGGUGGCGAAGGCGGUCUUCUGGACGGUGACUGACGCUGAGGCGCGAAAGCGUGGGGAGCAAACGGG
rnacentral:rRNA from 1 species